rnacentral:rRNA from 1 species
UACGUAGGGGGCAAGCGUUGUCCGGAAUCAUUGGGCGUAAAGCGCGUGUAGGCGGCUUGGUAAGUCCGCUCUGAAAGCCCGGGGCUCAACCCCGGGAGGCGGGUGGAUACUGUCAAGCUCGAGUCCGGAAGAGGCGAGUGGAAUUCCUGGUGUAGCGGUGAAAUGCGCAGAUAAUCAGGAGGAACACCAAUGGCGAAGGCAGCUCGCUGGGACGUGACUGACGCUGGAGACGCGAAAGCGUGGGGAGCAAACAGG